AGAGUUUGAUUAUGGCUCAGGAUGAACGCUAGCUACAGGCUUAACACAUGCAAGUCGAGGGGCAGCAUUUUAGUUUGCUUGCAAACUAAAGAUGGCGACCGGCGCACGGGUGAGUAACACGUAUCCAACCUGCCGAUAACUCAGGGAUAGCCUUUCGAAAGAAAGAUUAAUACCUGAUGGCAUAGGAUUAUCGCAUGAUAAUCCUAUUAAAGAAUUUCGGUUAUCGAUGGGGAUGCGUUCCAUUAGGCAGUUGGUGAGGUAACGGCUCACCAAACCUUCGAUGGAUAGGGGUUCUGAGAGGAAGGUCCCCCACAUUGGAACUGAGACACGGUCCAA
rnacentral:rRNA from 1 species